rnacentral:lncRNA from 1 species
ACCACUUGGCUCAAUGGCUUCAGCCCCCUUUUUAGGGGAGUGAACAAGUCUGUCUUGUUGGCAUUCCAGGUGCCGCUGGGGUAUGGAAAAAAAGCUACAGUUAGCUCGGUGUCUGCCCAAACAGCUGCCCAGGGGAGAGAGUUCCCCGACCCCUUGUGCUUCCAGAGUGAGUGUGAGGAAGGAACAAACGAAAAGGACGCCCUCACAGACGGGACUGUUGGAAGAUUAACAAACAGGAAUAGCACCAACAUCAACAAAAAGGACGUCCGCCCCACCUGCUUCGGCUCAUCCUCCGUGGGCUGCACCCACUGUGUAAGCAGUCCUGACGAGAGAGCCGCAUACCUCAGCUGGAAAUGCAGAAAUCACGCACCUUCUGCGUCGAUCUCGCUAGAAGCUGCAGACUGGAGCUGUUCCUAUUCGGCCAUCUUACCAACAACCCAAUAAAAGGCGUUUUUCAAGGAUGUGGAGACAUUGGAGCCCUCACACAUUGCUGGUAGGAAUGUAAAAUGGUGCAGCUGCUGUGGAUAACAGACGUUUCUCAAAAAGUUAAACAUAGAACUACCUUAUGACCAACCAGUUCUGCUACCGGUUAUAUACCUCUGAAGAACUGAAAACAGGCAUUCAUUCACACCAAUUUGUAUAUAAAUACUCAUUAUUCACAGUAGCCAGAAGGUGGAACACAACUGUCAAGCAACAGAUGAGUAGAUCAAAUGGGAUGUAUCAGUAACACGGAGUCUCAUUCAGUCAUGAAAAGGAGCAUGUACUGAUGCACGCCGCAGCACAGAUGAGCUCAAAAACAUUCACCAGAUGAGAAAAGCCGGACCCUAAGGGGCACACAGUGUAUUAUUCUGUUUGUAUAAAUAUCCAGAUGAGGCCAAUCUAUAGGGACAAGAAGCAGAUUUUGGCUGCCAGGACCCGAUGACAGGGGUAGGGAGUGACUGCCUAAUGGGAAGGGGUUUCCUUUGGAUGUGUUGAAAAUUAGAACUAGAUUUAAAUAAUGUAUGCCCAACACUGUAAAAGUACUAAAUGCCACUGGAUUAUACACUUUAUUUAUUUAUUGAGAUGGAGUCUCACUCUGUUGCCCAGGCUGGAGUGCAGUGGUGCCAUCUCGGUUCACUGCAACCUCCACCUCCCGAGUUCAAGCAAUUCUCCUGCCUCAACCUCGUGAGUAGCUGAAUUACAGGUGCCCACCACCACACCUGGCUAUUUUUUUUUUUCAGUAGAGAGGGGAUUUCACCAUGUUGGCCAGGCUGGUCUCAAACUCCUGACCUGAAGUGAUCCGCCUGCCUCAGCCUCCCAAAGUCAUGGGAUUACAGGUGUGAGCCACCACACCUGGCCACUAAAAUUAUUUAAAUGGAGAAUGAUAUGUUGUGAAUUUUAUUUCAAUAAAAACAUAAAUAUACAUACAUAUGUAGGAGGCUUAUAAUUUACCCAUUAAUGUAACAACAAGGAAUAAAAGUCUUAAAGCAAUACACAGUUUUUUUAAAAUAUUUUUGAG